rnacentral:rRNA from 1 species
GACGGAGGAGGCAAGCGUUAUCCGGAAUUAUUGGGCGUAAAGCGUCCGCAGGUGGCCCAUCAAGUCUGCUGUUAAAGCCCAGGGCUCAACCCUGGAUCAGCAGUGGAAACUGGUGGGCUAGAGUGCGGUAGGGGCAGAGGGAAUUCCCGGUGUAGCGGUGAAAUGCGUAGAGAUCGGGAAGAACACCAGUGGCGAAAGCGCUCUGCUGGACCGCAACUGACACUCAUGGACGAAAGCUAGGGGAGCGAAUGGGAUUAGAUACCCCAGUAGUCCUAGCCGUAAACGAUGGACACUAGGUGUUGCGCGUAUCGACCCGUGCAGUGCCGUAGCCAACGCGUUAAGUGUCCCGCCUGGGGAGU